rnacentral:lncRNA from 1 species
GAGGGAUAACUAGGAACAGUACUUCUUUAGCCUCGUACUAAAUCAAAGGUGGGGAAAGAAUCCAAUUCUCAGCAUCCUGGCAACUGAUGUACUCACCCUUAGUCCAUCUUAUAACCUUUAAACUUUGAUAAAUAAUCAGUGGCCAUAUGCGGGCCUCUCACAUGAAUCCAGAUAGCUCAAAAGAGGGUGAAACUGACGGUCUUGGGCCUUACCAACACACCACAGCACAGCAGUCAACCUUGGGAAAAUGAUUUUCCUUCCUGUGCUAAUCUUACCGUAUGUAAAU